UUCUUGCAGUGUGCAAGUCCUCAAGAGUGGGUAGGGCGGUGCCAACGAUUUUUUUCUGGCGUCCUAACUGUCCGUUGAAGUCGGAUUUUGUCCUUUUUUGUGGCGGCCCCAAACCAAACCGAGUAUCCUUUUGCAUAUCCUGUGUGUAUGGAUAUAGACUCCCAUUUAAAGGAGCCAUAUCAUGCUAUUUCAGUGAUAACUUUACAGUUUGAGCCCUGCAAAUCCCAGGGACUCGCUGAACAGAAAAAUAUGAGUCCCAUUAUGCAUUAAGAGAGUCCCAAAUUUCGAAUUCUGAAAUAGUCUACUUACUCGAUUUCAUAUGAUAAUAACACAACAACAAUAUACGUUGAUAAUAGGUUUAUUUCUUAUGAACAAAUGUUGACGUUUUUUAAAUAAUUCAGGCAUACAAGAUUUGCUUACAAAUAGGUUCUUAUUUCAUCCUAUGGUUCAGUCUUUGAGUUCAUAAAUUCUCCUCUCUUUACUCUGCUUCCAAUGAUGCAAGGCUCUCUCAAAGUCAACUUUUCGCAACAAAAAAAAACGAAUCAACUUUUGCUGCUUCCUAUGUGAUAUCUCCACAGUAAACUUUCGCAACACUUGUUUUAAUGUUACACAACUUGGAAAUCGUCUGCUUCGCGCGAGGUGAAGGCCGAUCUCGCCAAUCUCAUCUCGCGAGAACAGAAAUCUCGUCAUGCGAGACUACCUAACGCAAGAUCAAAACAAAAAUGGCGGCGAUGGUCAAAAUGCGAUCGUUGCUGGAAAAAAAUAUUUCCCGUAGAUUUUUUGUUUUGAAUGAGAAAUUUCCUUGCGUCCCAAAAACGCACAUUAUUUGGAACUAUGCGUCCCGCGGGAAAAUUAUGCGUCAAGGACGUGGGACGCAGAGGUAACGAGAUGGCUGCUAUUUUAAGUUUGCCACAGUUAAUGAUAGACAUGCACAAUGCUGAUCUAAUUUCUUGUGAAAUAAGAGUCAUUUUGGUGACCGUUUUUCUAAUCCGGAAUAAAGACGCCUGGUUCACUAAUACAAGUAUCCACUGUGCCCGCACAGUUCAUCGGUAGACUCGAGGGCCAUUCUAUGACUGCUCACAAAGUAGGACAUCUCACAAUUGCUUAUAAAAAAAAAUAAUAAUAAUAAUUAAAUGCACCAAACAACAAUGACAAGUAAUUGAGCACAUCACAGUGUGUAUGUGGAAACAAAAUCAGAACAGCUGUAUGUCAACUCAAGUUGCAGGGACAGCUGCUCUUGCAGAAUGGGCGUGUGUUUAGUUUGCAGUGGCAGUACGGGGGUGACUCGUCAAUUUGUGACUUCACAAAGCGAGGAGCGGGUAGUUUUCUUAGAUCAGGCGGAGCUCAUGCCUUGAGAUGAUGGUGCUUGGAAUGAGCAUGAAUGCUCCAAAAACUUGAGGAAUUGGCAUUUUAACAUGCUUAAAAGCUCCAAAAUGUUGAUUUAUGGAUUUGAUAUGGGUCCUUUAAAUGCUCCUUUCAAAUCAUCUGGAAGAUAUAUUUUUUAUGAUAACGUUAUGAAUUAGAAAUGAUAUUGAAUGUUAUUAAACUCUUUUGGCAUCUUAAUUAGUAUUUAAAGUUUGGAAAUAUUCAUACAGUUGACGCCCACUAUUCGCCGUCGAUAGACACCAGGUCUGAUCACAAAUAUACCCGCAAAUAACUGAUUCUUUUAAUUGCCUGUGAGAAAAUAUCUUUUGGAACCCCUAAGAUGGUUUGCUUCCUAGUCGGUCCUCUUUUGAAGUUGCCAGUACAUUUUUCAAUUGUCUUUUUACAUCAAUUCAAUGUAUCCUCCUCAUCCAUUGGUUCCGGUGUAUUAAGUUAGAUUAUUUAGUCAUCAAACCAUAGAUGUGGUGGCCAUGUUGGAUGGGGCAAGUUUCCGUCAGAGGUGGACAAUAAAUGACGUCGGCUUUCAUGUUAAUGUCAUUUCAGCAUUAUUGCCCAAUACACAUGUAUUGAACGAGGAUAGAUAGAACUGCACAUCUCACACUUUCAAGAGAGUCUAUCAGUAAUGUUCUGUGUGCCCAAACUGGAAAUAUGUCAUCAUUUGAGAUGCCAGUGAUAAAUUAAUCAAUAUUACCAUUUAUUAUUUUAGUAAUAACUGCAUACUAGGGGGGCAUCAGUACAUUUUUGCCGCAUUAGUCUUUUGUCAGCGACCUGGGCUCAGAGCAGUCACUAUUUGUCCGUCAGUAUUUCAUUUCAUAAUCCAUUAUGUCAUAUUAGCCACGCUUCCAUCAGUAAAUUUCACGAGUCCUUCAAUCAACAGUCUCUCAGUUCCUGGAUUAAUGUGCCUCGUAAAUUUGUGGAAACCGAAACCAAAGUGCGAUGACAAUCAUUUCCUCUUCUUCUUGUUCUUCCACGACUACUACUACUACGACUACGACGACUACGACUACUCUUGAUUUAUUGGUGGAUUACAGCUCUUUAGCACAUACUGUCACGUACUGUACAGGAAGCGCAUUGCGUUGUCAUAUGCAGUUCAUGCAGUUGACUGAAGCAACCUCACCUUGACCCAUGCAAACAAACAUAAAGAGACAGGCGGGGUGUGCUUCUGUCAGUCGUCGGUGAAACAGGAUCGUCAGUGUCAGUACUUGACCCGGUUAGUGACAAUUGCACUGAGGGAUGAAAACCUGCAUCCGACAUAUUCCUCGGCAAAGCAGUUCCUGUAGUGACGGUUGGCCUGCUCAGAGGAUACCAAGUGCGGGUGGGGGCUGCUGAUGGGGGCGGUCCUUGUCUGAGUCAUUGACUGGAGGACAUGACCUCUGCGUUGCAGCGCGCUUUAUUUCAUUUCCUGUUGGCUGUGCACAACCCCCUUGCCGCACGAUGGAGCCAGCAAACUGCGGCUUUGGAUGAAGCCAUAUUUGUUGUGGAGAGGCGACAGGGUGUAGUGGGGUUGGGUGUGGGGGGCGGCAAUUAAUCAACACAGCUGUGCUUGCGCAGCAUCUCAUCCGAGGUGGCUUUUCCCUGUGGCGAUCACGCGCGGUGUGUUGGUUGGUUCCAUGCUGACGAGCCUUCGGGGUCCCACGUAGACGUUCCUUUCUGCUUCAACUGACAAGAGAGAAACAGCCGUGCUUGUUAUUAUCCACGUGAGACUGAAGAUGUGUUGUGCUCAUCAUUUUCUUCAAAUUCCUUUCAAACAAUUCAUUGACCAAAACCUUGCAACCUCUCUCUGGAUUUUGACCCCAGAUUGUUUUUAUUUAUCUUCAUGCAAGAUAACUGCUUUCACAAAGAAUAAGUACAUUAUUAUAUGAACUAGAGUGGCAAUUAACCGUGAUUUUAAUAAUGGAUUAUUCUGUCGAUUGUUUUUUUUUUAAUAAUUGAUGCAUCUUUGAAAAAAACGUACAUUAUUUCUAAUUGACAGUGCAGAAAAGUCACAAAGAAAUUGAUUCUGAUUCACAGAAUGAAUGAGUCGUAGUUCUAGGAUUGACCACCAUUUUCCAAUCAUUUAAAUCAAAUGCUAAUAACUGAUGUAGAAACCUGUUCAUGUUACACAAUUGUGAACAUUUUUGGAAGCUUGAGUGUUGAAUUGGGCGCAGUAUUCAAGCCUCACAGUUACACUAUGCCUAUUGGUAGAAAACAAGGAAGUGAGAGAAGAGGAUCAGGUUCUUCUUCUUUUUCUUCUUCUUCUUCUUCGCAGUAAAUUAAUUUGUAUUACAAUAAGGCUACAAUGAAGGCAACUGAACAAUAAAUUAAUGUGAAAGACAGGUAACUUAGUGUAUUUCACAUAAUUAAAAGUAUAUAUUUAAACCAUUUACAAAAUACAAAAAUAAAAUGUCAACAAUAAUCCAAACAAAUUUCCAUGUUUAUCACUUCAACUUUUAUCAAGACAAUCUAUUGUUCAAUCUAUAAAAUAUAUAUAUUUAUACUGUGGUUGGCUAGCAACCAGUUCAGGGUGUAUCCGCCUACUGCCCGACCCAACUGGGAUAGGCUCCAGCAUGCCCCGCAACCCUUGUGAGGAUAAGCGGAUCAGAAAAUGGAUAGAUGGCUAUCUAUUUAUAU